rnacentral:tRNA from 1 species
ACCCGAUUGGCACAAUUGGCUAGCGCGUGAGACUGUGAGUACUUCUGGAAACCUCCUUGGACAUUACUUGAAAUUCCCACUAACCGUUGAAUAGUUUAAUCUCAAGGUUAUGGGUUCGAACCCCAUAUCGGGUA